AUUGAACGCUGGCGGCAGGCCUAACACAUGCAAGUCGAGCGAGCGGCGGACGGGUGCGUAAUGUCUGGGAACCUGCCUGAUGGAGGGGGAUAACUACUGGAAACGGUAGCUAAUACCGCAUACCAUACGAUGUGCCCAGAUGGGAUUAGCUAGGAGGGGGGGUAACGGCUCACCUAGGCGAGGAUCCCUAGCUGGUCUGAGAGGAUGACAAGCCACACGUGAACUGAGACACGGUCCAGACUUCUACGGGAGGCAGCAGUGGGGAAUAUUGCACAAUGGGCGCAAGCCUGAUGCAGCCAUGCCGCGUGUGGGAAGAAGGCCUUCGGGUUGUUAAGCACUUUCAGCGGGGAGGCGUUACCCGCAGAAGAAGCACCGGCUAACUCAGUGCCAGCAGCCGCGGUAAUUC
rnacentral:rRNA from 1 species